rnacentral:rRNA from 1 species
AUUGAACGCUGGCGGCAGGCCUAACACAUGCAAGUCGAACGAGUGGCGGACGGGUGAGUAAUGUCUGGGAAACUGCCCGAUGGAGGGGGAUAACUACUGGAAACGGUAGCUAAUACCGCAUACCAUCGGAUGUGCCCAGAUGGGAUUAGCUAGUAGGUGGGGUAAAGGCUCACCGAGGCGACGAUCCCUAGCUGGUCUGAGAGGAUGACCAGCCACACUGGAACUGAGACACGGCCCAGACUCCUACGGGAGGCAGCAGUGGGGAAUAUUGGACAAUGGGCGCAAGCCUGAUCCAGCCAUGCCGCGUGUAUGAUGAAGGCCUUCGGGUUGUAAAGGACUGUUGGCAGGGAGGCGGUAUCGGCAGAAGAAGCACCGGCUAACUACGUGCCAGCAGCCGCGGUAAUAC